UCCGGUGGCUAUAGCGAGAGGGAAACACCUCUUCCCAUUCCGAACAGAGAAGUUAAGCCUCUCAGCGCCGAUGGUACUGCAGGGGAAGCCCUGUGGGAGAGUAGGACGCCGCCGGGA
rnacentral:rRNA from 1 species